CAGUAGCCGCGGUAAUACGAAGGGGGCUAGCGUUGCUCGGAAUGACUGGGCGUAAAGGGCGCGUAGGCGGCGGCCAAAGUCAGGCGUGAAAUUCCUGGGCUCAACCUGGGGGCUGCGCUUGAUACUUGGUUGCUUGAGUGGGGAAGAGGGUUGUGGAAUUCCCAGUGUAGAGGUGAAAUUCGUAGAUAUUGGGAAGAACACCGGUGGCGAAGGCGGCAACCUGGUCCUUGACUGACGCUGAGGCGCGAAAGCGUGGGGAGCAAACAGGAUUAGAUACCCCCGUAGUCCUGUCUCUUAUACA
rnacentral:rRNA from 1 species